UAUUGCAAAAUGGGCGAAAGCCCGAUGCAGCAACGCCGCGUGGGCGAUGAAGGCCUUCGGGUCGUAAAGCCCUUUUUGAGGGGAUGAGGAAGGACAGUACCCUCAGAAUAAGCCUCGGCUAACUACGUGCCAGCAGCCGCGGUAAAACGUAGGAGGCGAGCGUUAUCCGGAUUUACUGGGCGUAAAGCGAGUGCAGGCGGAUUGGAGAGUUGGAUGUGAAAGCUCCCGGCUUAACUGGG
rnacentral:rRNA from 1 species